GUGAGAGGGGAGGGUAGAGUAAGUGAGAGGGUAAUAAGAGAAAGAGAGGAGAGAGGGAGAAGAGAAAAUAGUAGAAAGAGAGGGCAGAGCAGACUGCAUUUCCAGACUGCGAGAUAGGUGCAUUAGACGGACAAUCUACUGAGAGAGUUCAAGAGAGAAAGGAGGGGGAUCAUGGAGGAGUCAGCAGUGAGGUCAAGGGAAGGACUCCUGCCUGACUGAACCUGCUGUGAACCUACGCACAACACGGAGGCACAGACGUGCACAGACACACUCACACCAGUGGAGGGCUAUAAUUGGAAAUGGGAGAGAUUGAAGGGAGUCGGAUAUCCUCGUCACCGAGAGGAAGAGGGAGCGGAGCUAAAGAGGAGGCAGAUUAUAUGCAAUGUUCCUUUGCAGCCUUCUGAUUUAAUGUCAUGUGGUGUUUAGAGGAUGGAGGGAUCAUAUGGUUUAGGUUUGACAGACAACCAACAGAACAGAUGACUUGUUGUUGUACGUUCUAUUCAGAUACAGUAUCACAGAGCCAGAUACAUUUUACAGAUUAAAAGCAUGUUUAAAACCUCUUAAACGUUAAGUCCCUUAUUUUGUGGCCUUUGAGCGGUUCUGGACCAAUUCCGACUGACAUUUUUGUGUACGGAGCGCUCUGUGAAUGGCGCGACAUCAAUUGCUGUACACUCCGUGAACUCGCUGGUUGRCCCGCUUCGCUCGUCGUUCUUUGCUCUCAUCUGAGAUGCAGAACGUGAAACCUGACACCUCAUUUGCAUAGGGACCACCACAUCACAUUUUCUGGCCWAUCCAGACAAAGGAUCGAUAUCCACUGCCUGUGAACCUCGCAGCUCCCCUUACAAUGCGGCAUAUGAAACGGGAGACCCUAGAGAUUGCAGCAAAAGCAGCCUCGCUGUGAUCUUCUCAGAACCUGAAAAAAUACAAAAUAAUUUKGUCGAAUUUAAACAAGACCACGCUCUGCUUAAAGCUGAAGUUGCAAC